CACCAGGUAUUAUCCUCUCUUUCCCCUCCUUUGUACGCAUAUGUGUAUAUGUGUAUGCUUAUACUCGAUUUGCCGAUCCCCCAUUUACAGUCCCUAAUGAGAGGAGAGCAAAGGAAUGGCGUGAUUCAAAGCCAUUGCCUUCACCAAUCGAGCACCAACAGUACUAUUGUCUGGCCUCGAUCCCGUCAUCUCUUAACCCCAUCGCUUGUCUGACCUCGACCAGAACUCGAUAAGUCUAAUAAUUACACUCUCAACGUUUAUUCUUGAUUUACUUUGGAGUUUUGAUUCACGGAUCUAUUUUAGGGUUUUCAAUUUGCGUUCUCGAUUUCGGGAUUUCAAUUUUGAGGGUUUCGCAAAAUUUUCUUUGGUGUUCGGAGGCAAUCAAUUGAUGCGGCUGCAGAACCAAGUUUUCUAGAUCUAUUUUCUUCUCCACCAUUUGACGGUUCUUGAUUCUUUCGUUUGAGUUGAUGAUUUCUAGCAGGUGCUAGUUUUCGACCAUGGCCUCCGGUCACAAUUUCCUGCAGCGGAGAGUUGUUUGCCAUGUGGGAAGAUAACAAAACUAGAUCAAAGUGGGUUUUUGUCAACCACUGCUACUUCCCCAAUGACUUGCUAGAAGCAGAUGUCCUUUUUCCCCCGAAAGCAAUGAGGUUUAUGAGUCUAAUCACGGUAACACCGUAGCGGCUGGCUUGAUUCGUGGCUCAUGUGUAGUCCUUCUUCCAAGCAAGUUUAAUGAAAAAAGUGGGAGGAGAUCCCGCUUGGGGCCAGGGGCAAAUGAUGGAUUACAGCCAUUUUACCUGUGCAAUGAUUUUAUUUGCUUCAAUAGGGUAUCUUUAGUGCUCAUAAUGAGGCAUCACAAUUCUGAAGCUAUUCAUGCUUCAGAGUAUGAAUCAUUGAAUCUAGAUGCCAAUAAUGUGACAUGAACCACUUGUUUUCAUGAUUCACUAUUUCGCUACGCAUAUGACAAUAUUUCUUAUGUUAAAGCUUCUUUUUUUCCA